rnacentral:rRNA from 1 species
UACAGAGGAGCCAAGCGUUGUCCGGAUUGACUGGGCGUAAAGCGCACGCAGGCGGAUGCGCGCGUGGGGUGUGAAAUCUGGCCGCUUAACGGCCAGGCGCCAUCCCAUACGGCGCGUCUGGAGUGAUGCAGAGGUCGGUGGAAUUGCCGGUGUAGUGGUGAAAUGCGUAGAGAUCGGCAGGAACACCCAGGGGGAAACCAGUCGACUGGGCAUCUACUGACGCUGAGGUGCGAGAGCGUGGGGAGCGAACAGG